rnacentral:tRNA from 1 species
AGAGCUUUAGCUUAAUUAAAGUGUCUGUUUUGCAUACAGAAGAUGUGGGUUAGUUUCCCGUAAGUUUUA